rnacentral:rRNA from 1 species
AUUGAACGCUGGCGGCAUGCCUUACACAUGCAAGUCGAACGGUAACAGGUCUUCGGAUGCUGACGAGUGGCGAACGGGUGAGUAAUACAUCGGAACGUGCCCGAUCGUGGGGGAUAACGCAGCGAAAGCUGUGCUAAUACCGCAUACGAUCUACGGAUGAAAGCGGGGGAUCGCAAGACCUCGCGCGGACGGAGCGGCCGAUGGCAGAUUAGGUAGUUGGUGGGAUAAAAGCUUACCAAGCCGACGAUCUGUAGCUGGUCUGAGAGGACGACCAGCCACACUGGGACUGAGACACGGCCCAGACUCCUACGGGAGGCAGCAGUGGGGAAUUUUGGACAAUGGGCGCAAGCCUGAUCCAGCCAUGCCGCGUGCAGGAUGAAGGCCUUCGGGUUGUAAACUGCUUUGUUACGGAACGAAAAGACUCUCUCUAAUACAGGGGUGGAAUGACGGUACCGUAAGAAUAAGCACCGGCUAACUACGUGCCAGCAGCCGG